UGGGGAAUUUUGGACAAUGGGGGCAACCCUGAUCCAGCAAUGCCGCGUGAGUGAAGAAGGCCUUCGGGUUGUAAAGCUCUUUUGUCAGGGAAGAAACGGUAGUAGCGAAUAACUAUUACUAAUGACGGUACCUGAAGAAUAAGCACCGGCUAACUACGUGCCAGCAGCCGCGGUAAUACGUAGGGUGCAAGCGUUAAUCGGAAUUACUGGGCGUAAAGCGUGCGCAGGCGGUUGUGUAAGUCAGAUGUGAAAUCCCCGGGCUCAACCUGGGAAUUGCAUUUGAGACUGCACGGCUAGAGUGUGUCAGAGGGGGGUAGAAUUCCACGUGUAGCAGUGAAAUGCGUAGAUAUGUGGAGGAAUACCGAUGGCGAAGGCAGCCCCCUGGGAUAACACUGACGCUCAUGCACGAAAGCGUGGGGAGCAAACAGGAUUAGAUACCCAAGUAGUCCCUGAGCGGGC
rnacentral:rRNA from 1 species